GAUGAACGCUGGCGGCGUGCCUAAUACAUGCAAGUCGAGCGAACAGACGAGGAGCUUGCUCCUCUGACGUUAGCGGCGGACGGGUGAGUAACACGUGGAUAACCUACCUAUAAGACUGGGAUAACUUCGGGAAACCGGAGCUAAUACCGGAUAAUAUAUUGAACCGCAUGGUUCAAUAGUGAAAGACGGUUUUGCUGUCACUUAUAGAUGGAUCCGCGCCGCAUUAGCUAGUUGGUAAGGUAACGGCUUACCAAGGCAACGAUGCGUAGCCGACCUGAGAGGGUGAUCGGCCACACUGGAACUGAGACACGGUCCAGACUCCUACGGGAGGCAGCAGUAGGGAAUCUUCCGCAAAGGGCGAAAGCCUGACGGAGCAACGCCGCGUGAGUGAUGAAGGUCUUCGGAUCGUAAAACUCUGUUAUUAGGGAAGAACAAAUGUGUAAGUAACUAUGCACGUCUUGACGGUACCUAAUCAGAAAGCCACGGCUAACUACGUA
rnacentral:rRNA from 1 species